ensembl:lncRNA
GGAGACAGAGGGAGAGAGGGAUGAAGAGAUGAAGGAGAGAGGUGGAGACAGAGGGAGAGAGGGAUGAAGAGAUGAUGAGAGAGGUGGAGACAGAGGGAGAGGGGGAUGGAGAGAUGAAGAGAGAGAGGGGUGGAGAGAUGAAGAGAGAGGUGGAGACAGAGGGAGAGAGGGAUGGAGUGAUGAUGAGAGAGGUGGAGACAGAGGGAGAGAGGGAUGAAGAGAUGAAGGAGAGAGGUGGAGACAGAGGGAGAGAGGGAUGGAGUGAUGAUGAGAGAGGUGGAGACAGAGGGAGAGAGGGAUGAAGAGAUGAAGGAGAGAGGUGGAGACAGAGGGAGAGAGGGAUGGAGUGAUGAUGAGAGAGGUGGAGACAGAGGGUGAGGGGGAUGGAGAGAUGAAGAGAGAGAGGGGUGGAGAGAUGAAGAGAGAGGUGGAGACAGAGGGAGAGGGGGAUGGAGAGAUGAAGAGAGAGAGGGGUGGAGACAGAGGGAGAGAGGGAUGGAGAGAUGAAGAGAGAGGUGGAGACAGAGGGAGAGAGGGAUGGAGAGAUGAAGGAGAGAGGUGGAGACAGAGGGAGAGGGGGAUGGAGAGAUGAAGAGAGAGAGGGGUGGAGAGAUGAAGGAGAGAGGGAUGAAGAGAUGAAGAGAGAGAGGGGUGGAGAGAUGAAGGAGAGAGGGAUGAAGAGAUGAAGAAAGAGAGGGGUGGAGAGAUGAAG